CUCGGCCCCUCACGUGGCGGUACCUCGCCGAACUCCCCCAGGGCAGGAAUGCAGCAAGGGUAGGCAAGCUCUUCCGGGUGCGUGAGGGGUCCUUUCA
rfam:Luteipulveratus sp. C296001 unitig_0_quiver_44, whole genome shotgun sequence.